GGUAAUACAAUUUAAUUAAAUUAGUUCUAAUAAAUUGUUAUAUAAAAUAAUUUUAUAUUGAGAUUUAUGAGGUGAAAUUUUAAAUUUUAUAAAGAUUAAAUUAUAAAUUAUUAUUUAGGAAACUUUUUGUUUAAACUAGGAUUAGAUACCCUAUUAUUAAAAGCUUAAAUUUUAACUGAAUUAGUAGUAGUUAUGUUCUUGAAAAUUAAAGAAUUUGGCGGUAUUUUAGUCCAUUCAGAGGAACCUGUUCUGUAAUCGAUGGUCCACGAUUAGUCUAACUUUUUUUAGUAGUUUGUAUAUCGUCGUAGUUUGAAUAUUUUUGUAGAAAUUUAAUAUUCAAGAUUCAUUUUGUGAAGGAAUUCAGAUCAAGGUAUAGCUUAUAAAAAAGAAGAAAUGGGUUACAUUAAUUUUAAUUGAGGAGAGUUUGAUUUAAAAUUGAUUUGAAUAUGGAUUUGAAAGUAAUUUUUUUUAUUUAAGAAAAAUGAUUUUGGCUCUAAAAUAUGCACAUAUUGCCCGUCGCUUUCAUUAUAAGGUGAAAUAAGUCGUAACAAAGUAGUCUUACUGGAAAGUGAGGCUAGAAUGAUCAAGUUAGAGCUUGGUAAAAGCAUUUUAUUUACAUUAAAAAGUUAGUUGUGAGAAUCAAUUGUACUUGAUUUAAAGAGAUUAUUAAUUUUUUAAGGUAGGGCUAGUAUUAAUAAAAAUAAUUUAUCAUUUAGUAUAAUAUUUAGAAUAAUUAAUAUUAAUUAUAGAGAAUUAGUAUUGUGAGAGAGAUUUUAAAAAGUUUAAAAGAAAAAUUUGUUUU
rnacentral:rRNA from 1 species